GGGGUAUUGUCUUUAAAACCCGAGUGAAUCCUACGUCCAUAGAGAUGACCCGUUUUAAAACUCGUGUCAAAGUUUGCCAGGUCGCUUUUAAACUUCCGUUGCCGUUUCGAGUUAAUUUCGUGCUUCCUCCUGCGUAUGCCCGACGCCCCCAAACCCACCCCCACAAACCGCUUCAGCGAAAACAGCGCGUAGAGGCGAAGAGAACCGAGUCGCUGCAACCAGUCUCUCAAGAUCCAGUCUCUGAACGUCACAGCUGGAAAAGUCAGGUGACAUUCGAGUCGGAUGCACCACGUUUUGAAAAACGGGAAAGUGGAGAAUGGAUUUUCUAGGGCCGGUACACACCUGCCCGGACUGGCCACGGGUCAAUGGCAGAAUGAAGGCUGAGUGCAUCAGGGGCCCAGCCAACCGAAGCAGCUGCCCCGAGGCAGUGGGAAUUCCACAGGAGCAAGGCCAUUCCUGUCCUGGCCGGGUAGACCACGAGGACCCCAUACGUAGCUGACAUUAGAGGUUGGGCAAACCUGGAGGGCUGCCUGCCUUGAUAUUUCCAUCCUGGACCCGAGACCUGUGAAGAUGGAACAGAGGCCAAAGUGUCGUUGGCUACCUCCAGAACAGAAGGAAAUCCAGAGCAGCUUCCCGUACAUGGAAACACAGGACCCAAUCGAAACGCAAAGUGCUGAAGUCCAUUUCCCUGGAUCCUCGUCCUGGAAUUUCCAGAGGCAUCUGAACUCUUUGGGAAGGAGGGCCCAUGCUGACUCCACGUCCAGAGUGGUGGUGCCAAAGAAGUUUGCAUCAGGUGCCUUCUGCGACGCUCCAAGCAUCAGGCCAGUUAAUGGCACCUGGUUCAUUACACACAUGUCAAAUCUUAAAAUCUAGACCAUCAGUCAGCAGGGGUCUUGUUCACUGC
rnacentral:lncRNA from 1 species